CAGUUUCUUCGCAUUUGAUUUCCUGGGUUCGUGUUUCCCGGGCGGGCGGGCGGAGCCGCCCCCGGGUACUGAGAAGAAGGGGGGGGCUCAGCGCACCGCGGCGGCGCCUCAGCGGGUUUCGUUUUUGCACUGAAUGUAGCCAGGACGGAUCCUUGUGGGCUUUGGCAGCCCUUGGAAACUGUCAAAGGCAGUAUUUUGCAUUUCUGCAGAGCUUUGCACAGAUCCUGUUCCCAUGCAAACUGAUGAGGGAGAAAUACUGGAGGAAGGCAGUCCCAAGGUCAGUGAGAUGGAACAUGAGGAUUUUGUAAUGGAGGGGCAUGGCAAGACUCCACCUCCUGGUGAAGAAAACAAACAGUCUGGUUGAUUGUUGGCUGUUCCCUCUCCCAAGCUGCCACUUCCUCGGGAGCUGCCUGAGGUAACUGUGCUCUGAUGUAUCG
rnacentral:lncRNA from 1 species